CAAUAGCGUAUAUUAAAGUUGUUGCAGUUAAAAAGCUCGUAGUUGGACCUUGGACCUGGACAGGCGGUCCGCCUCACGGCGUGUACUGUCUUGCUGGGUCUUUCCUCUUGGUGAUCUGUUGUUUCGGCAGCAGGGAACCAGGACUUUUACUUUGAAAAAAUUAGAGUGUUCAAAGCAGGCUCGACGCCGGAAUAUAUUAGCAUGGAAUAAUAAAAUAGGACGUGCGGUUCUAUUUUGUUGGUUUUUGGAAUCGCCGUAAUGAUUAAUAGGGACAGUCGGGGGCAUUAGUACUCACAUGCUAGAGGUGAAAUUCCUGGAUUUUGUGAAGACUAACUUCUGCGAAAGCAUUUGCCAAGGAUGUUUUCAUUAA
rnacentral:rRNA from 1 species